AAAAACUUUGGAUGCUACGUACUUUUAACAUGAAAAGAAAUUCCAAAAAGAGUUUAAGCUGAAGAUGGUUAGAGGAAAUGUUCAAAAGGAAGAAAUGCAGAACAUAAAAGACAAAACAAGAAACUGAGCAAUGUUUAUAAUUAAUAAUUGAUACUGAAAUGUAGAAUUGUUGUUUUUGUUUUUGUUUUGUUUUGUUUUUGGUGGGGGAUGG
rnacentral:lncRNA from 1 species